rnacentral:rRNA from 1 species
AGUGAACGCUGGCGGUAGGCCUAACACAUGCAAGUCGAACGGCAGCACAGUAAGAGCUUGCUCUUACGGGUGGCGAGUGGCGGACGGGUGAGGAAUACAUCGGAAUCUACUUUUUCGUGGGGGAUAACGUAGGGAAACUUACGCUAAUACCGCAUACGACCUACGGGUGAAAGCAGGGGAUCUUCGGACCUUGCGCGAUUGAAUGAGCCGAUGUCGGAUUAGCUAGUUGGCGGGGUAAAGGCCCACCAAGGCGACGAUCCGUAGCUGGUCUGAGAGGAUGAUCAGCCACACUGGAACGGAGCCACGGUCCAGACUCCUAAGGGAGGCAGCAGUGGGGAAUAUUGGACAAUGGGCGCAAGCCUGAUCCAGCCAUACCGCGUGGGUGAAGAAGGCCUUCGGGGUGGAAAGCCCUUUUGUUGGGAAAGAAAAGCAGCAGGUUAAUACCCCGCUGUUCUGACGGUACCCAAAGAAUAAGCACCGGCUAACUUCGUG